AGAGGAGAGAGAUGGAAUUGUUUGACAUAGGUGGGAUAUAUGGAGCAUGCAGGGUCUAAAAUAGAUUGAGAUGAUCGAAGGGAGAGUGAGAUACAUUGGAAUCGGCGUAGAGAAUUAAUAGUUGCAAUGUGUGGAGUGAGUGGAUAAGUGAUUGCAGCAGUGUUUGAGGAUUAGAAGCGUACCUAUCACAGUUAAAAGGGGCGAGGCGAAGGGAAGAAGUGGGAAAAAAAAGAGGAAAAACAGAAGAAAAAGACGAAAUAAGAGGAGCCCUGGGAAAGCUGUAGUGCUGGAUAAGGGGAGACAUGAGUAGGGGCCCAUCUAUAGGAAUGUGGGAUUAUAUCCCAUCCCAUCCAUGCAUUCUAGUCAUGUCCUUUCAAAUUCAUACCUACCUACGUUUCUUCACUCCAUUCCCCUAAACCUUACAACAACAUACACACCAAUACUAAUGGAUUAAUCUCAUACAUUAUUAUUAUUAUUAUUAUUAUUAUUAUUAUUAUUAUUUUUCAUCAACUUAAAAUAUUUAUUUCUUGUAAGAGAGUGAAAUGUACUUACUAUAGAUGAAUGGGAGAAAAAGUUGAAGAUUAUUAGGCGCCAAGUGAAACUAAGUUGAUGGAAAAUAAAAGGAGAGAGGGUGAGAGUGGGAGACAGGGCCCUUGACGGCGACCACAGGGUAUAGUAUCAAUGUCUAGGUGCCCGCACUGCCCGCGUUGCCCAACAUGUACAUUGAGAGUUAUUUGUUCUCGUCUUUACCCAAAGCUGGCGUCGUUUUCCGCUUUGCCCGCCCAAUCGGAACUUUUGAUUUUUAAGGGAAUAAAGUUUGCACACCAAACCAAACACAGCACUAAUGUAAUAUUGUAAUGACAAGUAACAUAACAUAACAUACCCUUCUU
rnacentral:lncRNA from 1 species